rnacentral:rRNA from 1 species
CCUACGGGGGGCUGCAGUGGGGAAUAUUGGACAAUGGGGGGAACCCUGAUCCAGCCAUGCCGCGUGUGUGAAGAAGGCCCUCGGGUUGUAAAGCACUUUCAGUGAGGAAGAACGCCUGGUGGUUAAUACCCAUCAGGAAAGACAUCACUCACAGAAGAAGCACCGGCUAACUCCGUGCCAGCAGCCGCGGUAAUACGGAGGGUGCGAGCGUUAAUCGGAAUUACUGGGCGUAAAGCGCGCGUAGGUGGCUUGAUAAGCCGGUUGUGAAAGCCCCGGGCUCAACCUGGGAACGGCAUCCGGAACUGUCAAGCUAGAGUGCAGGAGAGGAAGGUAGAAUUCCCGGUGUAGAGGUGAAAUGCGUAGAGAUCGGGAGGAAUACCAGUGGCGAAGGCGGCCUUCUGGACUGACACUGACACUGAGGUGCGAAAGCGUGGGUAGCAAACAGGAUUAGAUACCCCGGUAGUC